rnacentral:lncRNA from 1 species
CUGGCUCUCACCGCAUGAGCAGCGUUCCCUCGGUCUAGCCCUUCAUCUCGGUGCUGCAGUCCCCUGGCCUCCCUCGCUGGAGGUGGUUCCGUGUGGAGCGUCCCACAGAUGUGGAUUUCCUCUCUGUCUUGGUGGGGUUCGGUGCCUAACUGGAACCAUGUGCCUCGGUGUUAUGCUGACAGUUAUUUUUAGAGUUUUGUGUUCCCUCUUCCCUCCCCGCUGGAGUGAAUUGAAGAGGAAAUAAAUGGUGAAGGUGCUGCUGGCCCAUUGGAGCAAGGGCAAUUAGAGCCCAAGGAGUGGGGCAUGGAGGGAGACAGCCCCAGGGCUCCAGGAGACAGCCUUCUCGCCCCUCCAGUUUCCCUGUGCCCUCGAAUUCUGCUUUUCAGCGAAGAAAAGGAGCAGAGAGGAUGAUGCUGCAUUUUUAACACACCACACAGCAUGCAAGGGAUUUCCUCGCAACACCUUCCUCGCUGUGAUUCCACAGACCAGUCCGCUGCAGCUGAGGGCUGCGGAGACUCCAUCUAUCCCUGGUUUGCCACAUCUUAAAAAAGAGCAGCCUCUGAUUCCCUACUCAAGUCUCAGUCUGUCUUCCCUGGUGAUUCAUGUAUUUGCACAAUACCAAACAGAGAGCCAUUGAAGAUUGGGAGUGGCCCACCACUCAAGA